rnacentral:rRNA from 1 species
AUUGAACGCUGGCGGCAUGCCUUACACAUGCAAGUCGAACGGUAACAGGUUAAGCUGACGAGUGGCGAACGGGUGAGUAAUAUAUCGGAACGUGCCCAGUAGUGGGGGAUAGCCCGGCGAAAGCCGGAUUAAUACCGCAUACGACCUACGGGUGAAAGGGGGGGAUCGCAAGACCUAUCGCUAUUGGAGCGGCCGAUAUCGGAUUAGGUAGUUGGUGGGGUAAAGGCCUACCACGCCUGCGAUCUGUAGUUGGUCUGAGAGGACGACCAGCCAGACUGGGACUGAGACACGGCCCAGACUCCUACGGGAGGCAGCAGUGGGGAAUGUUGGACAAUGGGCGCAAGCCUGAUCCAGCAAUGCGGCGUGCAGGAAGAAGGCCUUCGGGUUGUAAACUGCUUUUGUCAGGGAAGAAAUCCUCUGGGUUAAUACCUUGGGGGGAUGACGGUACCUGAAGAAUAAGCACCGGCUAACUACGUGCCAGCCGCCGCAGUAAUAC